rnacentral:rRNA from 1 species
UACGUAGGGUGCGAGCGUUGUCCGGAAUUACUGGGCGUAAAGAGCUCGUAGGCGGCUUGUCACGUCGGGUGUGAAAGCCCGGGGCUUAACCCCGGGUCUGCAUUCGAUACGGGCAGGCUAGAGUGUGGUAGGGGAGAUCGGAAUUCCUGGUGUAGCGGUGAAAUGCGCAGAUAUCAGGAGGAACACCGGUGGCGAAGGCGGAUCUCUGGGCCGAUAUUGACGCUGAGGAGCGAAAGCGUGGGGAGCGAACAGG